AAAUGCGAUAAGUAAUGUGAAUUGCAGAAUUCAGUGAAUCAUCGAAUCUUUGAACGCACAUUGCGCCCGCCAGCACUCUGGCGGGCAUGCCUGUUCGAGCGUCAUUUCAACCCUCAGAACCCCUUGCGGGAUCUGGCGUUGGGGAUUGGCAUCCAGCCAGCCCCGAAAUCUAGUGGCGGUCCCUCCGCGACCUCCCCUGUGCAGUAGCGAUACCUCGCAGCGGGACAGCGGUCUGACCACGCAGUAAAACCCCCAACUUCUCAAGGUUGACCUCGAAUCAGGUAGGAAUACCCGCUGAACUUAAGC
rnacentral:misc_RNA from 1 species